ACGGGUGAGUAACACGUAGGUAACCUACCCUUCAGUGGGGGACAACAGAGGGAAACUUCUGCUAAUACCGCAUACGAUCACGGACUGGGAUGUUCGUGGUGAAAGGAUUUAUUCGCUGAGGGAUGGGCCUGCGGCCUAUCAGGUAGUUGGUGGGGUAAUGGCCUACCAAGCCUGCGACGGGUAGCCGGACUGAGAGGUCGAUCGGCCACACUGGAACUGAGACACGGUCCAGACUCCUACGGGAGGCAGCAGUGGGGAAUAUUGCACAAUGGGGGAAACCCUGAUGCAGCGACGCCGCGUGGAGGAUGACAGCCUUCGGGUUGUAAACUCCUUUUGUCGGGGACAAUGGUGAUGGUACCCGACGAAUAAGCCACGGCUAACUCUGUGCCAGCAGCCGCGGUAAGACAGAGGUGGCGAGCGUUGUUCGGAAUUACUGGGCUUAAAGGGCGCGUAGGCGGUGGUGUAAGUCUAGGGUGGAAUGCUACAGCUCAACUGUAGAGCUGCCUUGGAAACUGCAUUACUUGAGUCGGUGAGGGGAAGGUGGAAUUCCAGGU
rnacentral:rRNA from 1 species